rnacentral:rRNA from 1 species
CAGUAGCCGCGGGAAUACGAAGGGGGCUAGCGUUGCUCGGAAUUACUGGGCGUAAAGGGCGCGUAGGCGGCGCUCCAAGUUAGGCGUGAAAUUCCCGGGCUCAACCUGGGGACUGCGCUUAAGACUGGAGUGCUUGAGGAUGGAAGAGGGUUGUGGAAUUCCCAGUGUAGAGGUGAAAUUCGUAGAUAUUGGGAAGAACACCGGUGGCGAAGGCGGCAACCUGGUCCAUUACUGACGCUGAGGCGCGAUAGCGUGGGGAGCAAACAGGAUUAGAUACCCCUGUAGUCCCUGUCUCUUAUAC